rnacentral:rRNA from 1 species
GCAACCCUUAUCCUUUGUUGCCAGCGAUUCGGUCGGGAACUCAAAGGAGACUGCCGGUGAUAAACCGGAGGAAGGUGGGGAUGACGUCAAGUCAUCAUGGCCCUUACGAGUAGGGCUACACACGUGCUACAAUGGCGUAUACAAAGAGAAGCGAACUCGCGAGAGCAAGCGGACCUCAUAAAGUACGUCGUAGUCCGGAUUGGAGUCUGCAACUCGACUCCAUGAAGUCGGAAUCGCUAGUAAUCGUAGAUCAGAAUGCUACGGUGAAUACGUUCCCGGGCCUUGUACACACCGCCCGUCACACCAUGGGAGUGGGUUGCAAAAGAAGUAGGUAGCUUAACCUUCGGGAGGGCGCUUACCACUUUGUGAUUCAUGACUGGGGUGAAGUCGUAACAAGGUAACCGUAGGGGAA